rnacentral:rRNA from 1 species
GAACACCGACAUCGCUAGCAGGAGAAAGUAUGUGAGGUUGGUAGAGUCAGUCAAGAAAUAAUGGCGGUACAGUGCACACAUUUCUUACUGCACGCUCUUUAUUCAUAGAUGCUCAUUUCACACUAUGGUCAAUGAGAAUUUUGAACUUCAAUAAACUGUCACACUGUUCUGGACAUGAGGUCUAACAAAAACUAUAGUUCAAUGUAGUGUUUUUCUCGCUUCUUGAUCGAUGUGGCAGAGGCCAUGGACUGCUUGCAAAAUUGUUUUUCCAUCUCUACUAUUUUCUGCCUUUGGAACUACUUAAAUUGAUUUCCUCGUGUUGGUCAUUGUUCUCACUUGGGUGGCCUCUGUCCUUAUUUUUCGCGAAUACGCAAGCGGUGUAUCAUUUUAUUGAUAGGUAGGAGAACAAGAGUUACAACUUACAAGGUGGUAGAUACAUAGCUCGUACACCGGAGGGCGAGGAUGGAUCUACAAUGAGCAGAAGAAGCCGGGGUGCUCAGCCCAAACACAAACAGGUGCAGAGGCAUACACACCUUAUGUCUGUUCACGGGGCAGAUCCGGCUGCCACAUCUUUCCGCCGUGCCAGAGGAAGUCGCGGAUCACCCGGUUGGCUCUCAAGUGGUGGUGUUCAAAGCUACCCCUGAGAAGAUGUGCAUGGGCAUGGCGGAGAGGACAUGACGGACAAGGGCAAGCCUAACACUGGCUACAACUUGGACUCGGCAAACUACAUCAACACGCAUGUAUAGGAGUUUGGAAUAUCCAACAUUUUCUGCUUUUUAUUUACUUCAUCCAAUAUCUGGGAACAAAAUGUGCUUUUAAAUUUGAUCCCCCGUGUG